UGCUGACGAGUGGCGGACGGGUGAGUAAUGUCUGGGAAACUGCCUGAUGGAGGGGGAUAACUACUGGAAACGGUAGCUAAUACCGCAUAACGUCGCAAGACCAAAGAGGGGGACCUUCGGGCCUCUUGCCAUCGGAUGUGCCCAGAUGGGAUUAGCUAGUAGGUGGGGUAACGGCUCACCUAGGCGACGAUCCCUAGCUGGUCUGAGAGGAUGACCAGCCACACUGGAACUGAGACACGGUCCAGACUCCUACGGGAGGCAGCAGUGGGGAAUAUUGCACAAUGGGCGCAAGCCUGAUGCAGCCAUGCCGCGUGUAUGAAGAAGGCCUUCGGGUUGUAAAGUACUUUCAGCGGGGAGGAAGGGAGUAAAGUUAAUACCUUUGCUCAUUGACGUUACCCGCAGAAGAAGCACCGGCUAACUCCGUGCCAGCAGCCGCGGUAAUACGGAGGGUGCAAGCGUAAUCGGAAUUACUGGGCGUAAAGCGCACGCAG
rnacentral:rRNA from 1 species